GGGGGUGUAGCUCAGCUGGGAGAGCAUCUGCCUUGCAAGCAGAGGGCCAGCGGUUCGAACCCGCUCACCUCCA
rnacentral:tRNA from 2 species